AUUGAACGCUGGCGGCAUGCCUAACACAUGCAAGUCGAGCGAGCGGCGGACGGGUGAGUAAUGUAUUGGGAUCUUCCCGAUAGAGGGGGAUAACUACUGGAAACGGUGGCCAAUACCGCAUACUCUCGUAUUAACCCAUAAGGGAUUAGCUAGUAGGUGUGGUAAAGGCUCACCUAGGCGACGAUGUCUAGCCGGGCUGAGAGGAUGAUCGGCCACACUGGGACUGAGACACGGCCCAGACUCCUCCGGGAGGCAGCAGUGGGGAAUAUUGGGCAAUGGGCGAAAGCCGGAUGGAGCCAUGCCGCGUGUAUGAAGAAGGCCUUCGGGUUGUAAAGUGCUUUCGGGAGCGAGGCGUUAACUACAGAAAAAGCAACGGCUAACUCCGUGCCAGCAGCCGCGGUAAUAC
rnacentral:rRNA from 1 species